GUUGUUUGAGGUACCCGCUGAAAAGGCCCCGCCCACUUGGGAUGAGAUCCGCCCCAGCUCCUGCGGAGGCAGCAGUGGGAUUAUGCACAUGGGCCCCAACCUGAUCCAGGACNNCGCUGANNGGAUGAGNCCUUCGGGNUGGUAAACUNCUUUAUCGGAGAGCAAGCGAGAGUGAGUUACCCCGUGAAAUAAGCACCGGCUAANUACGUGCCAGCAGCGCGGUAAUACGUAGGGUGCAAGCGUAUCCGGAAUAUNNNGGCGUAAAGGGCUCGUAGGCGGUUCGUCGCGUCCGGUGUGAAAGUCCAUCGCUAACGGGUGGAUCCGCGCCGGGUACGGGCGGGCUGGAGUGCGUNAGGGGAGACUGGAAUUUCCCGGUGUAACGGUGGAAUGUGUAGAUAUCGGGAAGAACACCAAUGGCGAAGGCAGGUCUCUGGGCCGUUACUGACGCUGAGGAGCGAAAGCGUGGGGAGCGAACAGGAUUAGAUACCCUGGUAGUCCACGCCGUAAACGGUGGAUGCUGGAUGUGGGGCCCGUUCCACGGGUUCCGUGUCGGAGCUAACGCGUUAAGCAUCCCGCCUGGGGAGUACGGCCGCAAGGCUAAAACUCAAAGAAAUUGACGGGGGCCCGCACAAGCGGCGGAGCAUGCGGAUUAAUUCGAUGCAACGCGAAGAACCUUACCUGGGCUUGACAUGUUCCCGACCGCUCCAGAGAUGGGGCUUCCCUUCGGGGCGGGUUCACAGGUGGUGCAUGGUCGUCGUCAGCUCGUGUCGUGAGAUGUUGGGUUAAGUCCCGCAACGAGCGCAACCCUCGCCCCGUGUUGCCAGCGGAUUAUGCCGGGAACUCACGGGGGACCGCCGGGGUUAACUCGGAGGAAGGUGGGGAUGACGUCAGAUCAUCAUGCCCCUUACGUCCAGGGCUUCACGCAUGCUACAAUGGCCGGUACAACGGGAUGCGACGCGGCGACGCGGAGCGGAUCCCUGAAAACCGGUCUCAGUUCGGAUCGCAGUCUGCAACUCGACUGCGUGAAGGCGGAGUCGCUAGUAAUCGCGAAUCAGCAACGUCGCGGUGAAUGCGUUCCCGGGCCUUGUACACACCGCCCGUCAAGUCAUAAAGUGGG
rnacentral:rRNA from 1 species